CACCACCGGGGAUGCCGCUACUUAGCUUAAUCGCUACUUCUUAUUUGCGGUUACGAUUAGAGUUGCUAUGGUUGCUGCAAAAGUGGUUUGGAGCUGAGGUUGCGACUGUCGUUGUUGCGAGUCGAGAGAAAAUGGAGUUUUGUCACGUAAUUGAGUCGCGAUUGAGUGACAGAUUUAGGAAGUUUUGGCGCGGAGCUGCGACCGAGCUAAGGAUGCCUUAUUUACAUAUAUGUAUCUUUAUUUUCUGUAUUUGAUUUAACCUUAGAUUUUGUUUUUCCCUCGUCAUUUAUUCUUUUGUAAUUUUAGAGGGAUAGGACUUGUAUUUGAGAAGUAUUUGAAUAAGUUUAUGUAUUUAUUAUUAUGUGG